UACGGGGGAGCAAGCGUUGUUCGGAUUUACUGGGCGUAAAGGGCGCGUAGGCGGCCACCGCAAGUCGACUGUGAAAUCUCCGGGCUUAACUCGGAAAGGUCAGCCGAUACUGCGGGGCUAGAGUGCAGAAGGGGCAACUGGAAUUCUCGGUGUAGCGGUGAAAUGCGUAGAUAUCGAGAGGAACACCUGCGGCGAAGGCGGGUUGCUGGGCUGACACUGACGCUGAGGCGCGAAAGCGUGGGGAGCAAACAGG
rnacentral:rRNA from 1 species